UGUGCCUCACAAACAGGAAAUUACAAUCCA
rnacentral:piRNA from 1 species